AAUCAGAGUCCACAUAUGUUCGGGGGAGGGACCCCAGAAGGCGGCUGACAGUAUUCCUUUAGCCAGAAAUCCCUUCAGGGAAGAGAAAGGUGCUCCCCUUUGCCUGCUUUUAUACUACAGACUGUUUCCAACUCCAGCUAGAAGUGACUAUUGCCGAUUAUGCUAAUCAGUGGCGACAAGCUCCCUUUGACUGCUCACUUCUCCAGUGAGGCUUCAAGCUUCUAGGCAUCAAGAUUAGUAAGGCUGUCUUCUGGGUGGGCCAGUUUGUUUCUCAGUGACACGAAAACAUUGCCUGGGGUGUGCACUGGUAUUUUCCAGAAAAUAUUUCAAGCAGAAUAUACUUAUUUUCCAGUUUUGAAAACAACUAGAUUGCCCAUCUCCAUUUCUCUCUAUCAUCUACUGUAUUAUUCUAUGGACAACUGCCACCCUAAUAAGGUCAAGAAGGGAAGCCAGAAGUCAAGGCCACAGAAGACACAGGAAACAUCAUUUCCAAAGUGGGAGACAAAGCUGUUAACAGGAAAUUAUUUGUAAAGUCAAGAGCCAAGCAAAACAGAAAAAGGACAAGAAAUCUAUCACCUGUGGGUAUGAAUGGUUCUAGGGAAGUCUGUUGACAAUUGGAGGGUCUCAAAGGCGCUUUAUGGUACUUAUUUUAUGACCCUGAGUCUGGAGUCUGAUGAAUUAAAGAGGAAAUUCUGCUCUGGGCAACAUUUAAGAGAUAGUAUCUCCAGGCAGUAACUUUCGUAUUAACUCUCAUAAGAUUGAUGCCAUUCUGUCAUCUAAAGUGUGGACAAAAGUAGCAUUAAAGCAAAAUGAAAGGAUAUA